rnacentral:rRNA from 1 species
CCUACGGGUGGCAGCAGUCGAGAAUCAUUCACAAUGGUGGAAACCCUGAUGGUGCGACGCCGCGUGGGGGAGUGAAGUUCUUCGGAUUGUAAACCCCUGUCAUGUGGGAGCAAAUUAAGAAGAUAGUACCACAAGAGGAAGAGACGGCUAACUCUGUUCCGGCAGCCCCGGUCAUACAGAGGUCUCAAGCGGUGUUCGGCAUCACUGGGCGUAAAGCGUGCGUAGGCUGUUUCGUAAGUCGUGUGUGAAAGGCGCGGGCUCAACCCGCGGACGGCACAUGAUACUGGGAGACUAGAGUAAGGGAGGGGGAACCGGAAUUCUCGGUGUAGCAGUGAAAUGCGUAGAUAUCGAGAGGAACACUCGUGGCGAAGGCGGGUUCCUGGACAUUAACUGACGCUGAGGCACGAAGGCCAGGGGAGCGAAAGGGAUUAGAUACCCGAGUAGUC